AGCCACGCACUGAUCACGUAGCGAACUAUUUUUUCGCGUUUUACUAAAGAAUACUGCGUGCUUGCCUCAGAUGGUGGCAUAAGAUUUUAGCAAAAAAGAAUCUUAUGAGUUUAUUU